rnacentral:rRNA from 1 species
AUGAGCCAUACAAUGAAGCUAUGGGAGAGAGUCAUUGAGCACCGCUUAAGAAGAAUGACAAGCGUGACCAAAAAUCAGUUUGGUUUCAUGCCUGGGAGGUCGACCAUGGAAGCCAUUUUCUUGGUACGACAACUUAUGGAAAGAUAUAGGGAGCAAAAGGACUUGCAUAUGGUGUUCAUUGACUUGGAGAAGGCCUAUGAUAAGAUACCGCGGAAUGUCAUGUGGUGGGCCUUGGAGAAACACAAAGUUCCAGCAAAGUACAUUACCCUCAUCAAGGACAUGUACAAUAAUGUUGUGACAAGUGUUCGAACAAGGGAUGUCGACACCGAUGACUUCCCGAUUAAGAUAGGAGCGCAUCAGGGGUCAACUUUGAGCCCUUAUCUUUUUGCAUUGGUGAUGGAUGAGGUCACAAGGGAUAUACAAGGAGAUAUCCCAUGGUGUAUGCUCUUUGCGGAUGAUGUGGUGCUAGUUGACGAUAGUCGGACGGGGGUAAAUAGGAAGUUAGAGUUAUGGAGACAAACCUUGGAAUCGAAAGGGUUUAGGCUUAGUAGAACUAAAACCGAGUACAUGAUGUGCGGUUUCAGUACUUCUAGGUGUGAGGAGGAGGAGGUUAGCCUUGAUGGCCAGGUGGUACCUCGGAAGGACACCUUUCGGUAUUUGGGGUCAAUGUUGCAGGAGGAUGGGGGUAUUGAUGAAGAUGUGAACCAUCGAAUCAAAGCCGGAUGGAUGAAGUGGCGCCAAGCUUCUGGCAUUCUCUAUGACAAGAGAGUGCCACAAAAGCUAAAAGGCAAGUUCUACAGGACGGCGGUUCGACUUGCAAUGUUGUAUGGCGCGGAGUGUUGGCCGACUAAAAUGCGACAUGUUCAACAGUUAGGUGUGGCAGAGAUGCGUAUGUUGAGAUGGAUGUGUGGCCACACGAGGAAGGAUCGAGUAUGA